GCAAACAACCCUGAUCAUUGACAAGACACAAAGUGAAAGUAGACUAAAAGCCAAUAUUGGUUGAAAUUAAAAAAAAAAACACACUUCCACUUGUAUAAUGUCAGCAUAAAAGGAAGUACACCUGGUCCAUCCAGAAAAAAAACCACUUCAUGACCAUGGUGACACUGAUGAUGAAAGUACAAAGACAGAUUUUAACCCAUUGCCACCAUUAAAAAGGAACAGAAGAAAGUGCAGUACCAUUAAAUUUGUAGGAAGAAGAAUUGCACAUGAAUGGAUUUUGGAAGACGGGUGUAAAAAAUGGUUUAAAGGAUUGGUCUUAUCAGUUUUAAAGAAGUCAGAUGGUGAUGUAAAUGCAGUGUAUGAGAUAAAAUAUGAUGGAGAGGAUGAAGCUAAUGAAGUUGAACACAAGGAGUUGUUAGAAGACUAUAGAAACUCAUCCUUAAAAUUCAUAGA